rnacentral:rRNA from 1 species
CUGAACCAGCCAAGUAGCGUGAAGGAUGACUGCCCUAUGGGUUGUAAACUUCUUUUAUAAAGGAAUAAAGUCGGGUAUGCAUACCCGUUUGCAUGUACUUUAUGAAUAAGGAUCGGCUAACUCCGUGCCAGCAGCCGCGGUAAUACGGAGGAUCCGAGCGUUAUCCGGAUUUAUUGGGUUUCAAGGGAGCGUAGAUGGAUGUUUAAGUCAGUUGUGAAAGUUUGCGG